rnacentral:lncRNA from 1 species
GUGUUUGAUCGGUGCCAUACCGGUUCCAUAAGAUAGAGCUCAGACUGUGUACCGAUUCUUAGCAGCUUUAUCAAGCUUCUUUGCAUCGUCCUGCAACAAGUGGAUGAGAUCAUGAAUACCACUGACCUGGACCGAAUAUUGUCAUCCAUGAAAGAGAAUCUAGUAUGAUUAACAAUUGUCAAAGUGAGCACUUACAUGAAACAUGAACCCAAUUGUGUCUUUGCAAUCCAAGAACUCCUUCCACUGUCUCCCAAUGCUUAGCUAUCAAUUAAAAAUUAAGAAAAAUAAAUAAAGUUAGCAAACUUUAUCAACAUGUCAAGCAAGCUAAGAGAACUAAAAACAGGAAAACAAAAGCACCAAAUAGUAAGAUGAGAACUGCAAUUCAAAGAAAAAUCAUAUACAGGGUUUACAUAAACAGGAUAGGCAAGCUGAAGGAAGCAAUUAACUACAGAAUCAAGCAUUUCGAAACAAGAUGCCAUAACCAAUCUACAAUGGAGAUUGGACUUAAUGCAACAGAAAAGAAGACAUCAUGCCUCUUACAUAAGAAUGGUGAUGCAGUAGGAAAUUAAAUAAUAUUGUACAUGAACGAAUGUAAGAAGACAUUGUACUAUGAUGAUACAGCAUUAAAAGAAUAAGCUGAGAGCUGUUUAAAAGUUUCCUUAGAUAUAAAAAUGUUAGCACGGGCAAUGCAUGUUGGAAAGAGGUAUAUUACUGUGGAAGCACUACUAAGCAUUGCAAUUGGGAUUCUAGACCUGACAUUCAGUCUUAAAUUACCUCCAAAGGGCCAAACUAAUCACUUCCAAUUCUUUCAUCAAAUUUACGGGACUCUCCUUCAUGACAGCAUAAAAAUUUAAAUUUACGGGACUCUCCUUCAUGACAAAGCGAAAAAAAUUGAAAUAAGCUAUUGCUUUCUUCCUAUUUUCCAGCUAUAGUGCUCAUCAGCUCUUCAAUUAAGCUCAUCACCUAGUGACAAAAAGAUACACUGAUCCUUCUCUCAUCACGAGAAUAUGGCCUGAAGGAGAGAAAACCAAGGACCACCCUUUUGCCACUGCAUUUUCAGCAACAAGGUAUUUGCCAUUUUCAGUGACCAGCAGUUUGAAAACCUAGAUUUCAGUUUGAUCGAGUCUAAAUGAUGUACAAUACGAUAUGUGCAAACUAGAACUACAUAUAACAAGCCCUGCCUGAACUUUCACUAGAGAUGCUAAAUUAUCUGCCACUCAUUCCUACCAAUGACAGCAUCAUCUUAGUGCAGCUCUACCCAAUUGCUUUAUUACUUCCAUCUGUAUCAUGUCAGCCACUUAGUCUUGUCCUGCCAAAAUCCUUCCCACAACUUCCACCCAUGCAGCCUCUACCUUUUUCACUUCUUUCUUUAUCCUUCAACAAAAAUUCUACAUAUACUUUCAUCUGAUCCUCUUUAGAUUCUCAGAAAACAUCGAAACAAAUCAAUUGACCACUUAGAUGCGCAAAUUAUGAACCAGUCAUGCUUCUAUUAUGUUGUGUUUGGUUGUCAAGAAAGGGAGUGACAAAAUCCAAGGCCUAGAUUGCACAGUGCAAUUAAUUUAAAAUGUUUCCAGCCACAAUCAGUUGUUAGGAGUAUGAACAGAGCUAUUGGAGCAUCAAGACUCUAAUGGUCCAAAUUUUUCAUGUAUUAUUAGACUUCCAGUUAUUAUUGUACUUGUUCCUCACAUAACUUGGAGUUUAGAUCUUUGGUCAUUUAAGUUAAUACUGAACUUACCUAGCCAUCACAAAAUUUUGAACUACUAAGUUACUUAGUCCUUUAAUAAUCCUUGGUGCAUGUUAUUUGAAGAUGAUAUUAGUCUUAGUAGAUGAAACUAAGGUCAGGGUCAAUUAUAAAUUUUGAACUACUAAGUUACUUAGUCCUUUAAUAAUCCUUGGUGCAUGUUAUUUGAAGAUGAUAUUUAGUCUUAGUAGAUGAAACUAAGGUCAGGGUCAAUAAUAAAUUGGAAUUAUGGAGGGUUUUAGCGUAAGUAGGACGAAGACAAAAUAUAUGGAAUGCAAUUUUAGUAAAAUUAGAAAUAGAAAUGAAGGUAGAGUAAAAAUUGGCAAUUGUAAAUUUCCUAAUCAUGAUUAUUUUAGAUAUUUAGGAUCAAUUAUUCAUAAGGAAAGGACAAUGUAAAUGAUGUUAUCCAUAGUUAAAGUAGUUUAGAUGAAAUGAAGAAAUGCAACUGGGAUGUUAUGUGAUCGUAUGAUACCUGCCAAGUUGAAGGAAGACUUUUAUAAGAUAGCAAUACAACCAGCUAUGUUGCAUGAUACGGCAUGUGGGCAAUUAAAAAAUAUGUGCAUAAUAUGAUGUCGCCGAAGUAAGGAUGUUGAAAUGGAUAUGUAGUAAUACAAGAAAAAUCAAAACAAGAAAUGAAAUCACUCAUUAUAAUAAUAAUAAUAAUAAAGGUGGAGGUGGCAUCAGCUGAAGACAAAUUGAGAGAAAGACACCUUAGAUGGUUUGGACAUGUACAACAUAGACCAAAGGACGUACCAGUAUGAAGGAGCAAUUUGAUGCAUUUAGAAGGAAAGAUGGGUAUAGGUAGACUGAAAAUCAAUGAAGUAGCAAGAAAGAACUUAAUGUCUAAACAUGAUUCAAAAAAUAUGGCCAUAGAUCGAGCUAAAUAAAGGAAAAGGAUUCAUCUAGCCUUCCUCAUCUAAUAUGGGAUUAAAGCUUAGUUGAGUUGAGAUGAAUUGGAGUUACCCGAUCAUUAAAUUACUUGUUCUUAAAUUAGUUGAUUGAUUACAUUGUCUUAAAGAGAUCUUUUUUGAAAACUGUAGACAGGAGACAAACAACUAGGUGAUGUAGUCCCUUGGUGUCAAGCUGUCAGUAAAGUUGAAAUUUCAGAACUGAAUAUUUUUUCUCUUAUGUCGCAAAAAAAAAAAACAUAGAGAAGAGGAUAAAUGUAGGAGAGAAGAAAAAAAAAUGAAAUUAUAAGAAAAUAUGGAAUAGAUAACCUAUCACCGAAGGCUUAAAUCAAAGGCCUCUAAGAUUGAAUAAAACUAGCUAAUUAACUGAAAAUAAAACUCAAAAGUUAAAACAACUAGACUAAGGUGCCUCUUAGCAUCACUUUCAUUUUUUCUAUUUUUAGAAUAUAAAAAAAUAAUUUUUUGUUCUUUUAAUUUUGCAAAAAUGUAGACAUGGUUGAUAUAGUCAAUUAUUUUUAAUAUAAGCAUAUCGAUGGUGAUGGACUCGAUGGUAGUUGCAAUGGAGGAAGUAGAGCCGAUGAUGGUGUCGAUGGCAAGAAUGAUGGCAAUACAGAGAAGGUGGAGAUGAUGCAAUAGUAUUGUGGUCAAGGUGAGGUGAUGGUGAUGGUGGUGGUGGUGGUGGCAAUUAUAGUGGUGGUGAUAAUGGUACCAAUAACAUAGUAGAGGUGAUGGUUAUGGUGGUGAUGUGGAGGCGAUGAUGGUAGUUAUUGUAAUGGCGAUGAUGCUGGUGGUGGAGGCACCAGCAAUGUGAUGGAGGGUGGCGGCACUGGUAGUGGUAGCGAUGGUGGCGGUUGUGGUGGAGGUGGUGUUGAUAGUGACUGUUGAAAUCACCAGUUGUCCUAAAAGCUUAGGGGGUGUUUGGUAACCCCAACAAGAUCACCACGGUGAUCUAAGAUCCUCGGUGAUCCGAAUGCUGGGAUGAUUUGAUUUUCAGUGAUCUAAGAUCCUCGGUGAUCCGAAUGCUGGGGUGAUUUGAUUUCCAGUGAUCUAAGAUCACUGUGUUUGGUAGGCUAUAGUCCAGUGAUUAAAAAUCUUCGGGUAUCCAUGAGUAACUUGUUUGGUAUGGUACGGGGAUCCAAGAUCAUCGACCACAUGAUACCACAAAUACCCCUGAUAUAUCUUAGAUAGAUUUUUUAUGUAUUUUUAAUUCUCAUGAAUAAAAAAUAUAAGUCAAUAUGUUAAUUUCUAUAAUAGCUCCAUAAUUUUGUCACAUAUUCUACUUUUAGUAGCCCUUAUCACAAGAAAAUCAGACUAUAUUUUCGUUCUAUCAACAAUACUCUUCAGCUCAUAUACUAAAGAAGAUAAUCAAUCAAUAAACAACACUACAAUAAGAUAAUCAAUAUAGACUAAAUAUGCACAUAUAAAACAAUUUAAACAAUAUAAAAAAUGUUUAAUAAGUAUAAAAUACUUACAAAAAUGAUAUGAAAAUAGAUAGCCAUCAAGUAUACUAUUUCAACAAUGAAGUGCAUGAAUCUAACAAAGAUAGAUAAGAAUUUGUCCAGAAAGGGACAAAUUCACUCCAUCUAUAAGAGAAGGUAGGGGCAUUAUGAGANNNNNNNNNNNNNNNNNNNNNNNNNNNNNNNNNNNNNNNNNNNNNNNNNNNNNNNNNNNNNNNNNNNNNNNNNNNNNNNNNNNNNNNNNNNNNNNNNNNNNNNNNNNNNNNNNNNNNNNNNNNNNNNNNNNNNNNNNNNNNNNNNNNNNNNNNNNNNNNNNNNNNNNNNNNNNNNNNNNNNNNNNNNNNNNNNNNNNNNNNNNNNNNNNNNNNNNNNNNNNNNNNNNNNNNNNNNNNNNNNNNNNNNNNNNNNNNNNNNNNNNNNNNNNNNNNNNNNNNNNNNNNNNNNNNNNNNNNNNNNNNNNNNNNNNNNNNNNNNNNNNNNNNNNNNNNNNNNNNNNNNNNNNNNNNNNNNNNNNNNNNNNNNNNNNNNNNNNNNNNNNNNNNNNNNNNNNNNNNNNCCUCCCUCUCUCUCUCUCUCUCUCUCUCUCUCUCUUUCUCUCCUCUCCUCUCUUUAUUUCAUCGCAAGUCGGUGCCUUUUUGCCUUCUCCCUUCCUUUUGUGGUUAUCUUCUCUUUGCCUCCCGGAAGCCUUCCUUUGGGCGGAGACCUUCGAUCAUUUCAGUCAAAAAAGAAGGUAAAAAAGAACGCAAUAGAGAAAGAAGCGGACAUGCCUGGAUCCUGAGGCCGGCCGUUCGACUUCCGUCGCCGCCGACGGCCGCUUGUCGCCUUCAGACUCCUUUCUUGCGGUCGUUGGAAAGGAGAGCAUAGAGAUGGGAGAGAUAACGACUCGAGCGUAAAAAAAGGUUGAGGAGUAUUUUGGUCUAUAAUUUUCAACCCAAAACCACUGCCCUAGGGUGAUCUUGGAUUCCCGACCUUAAGGACGGGUAUCCCACACCGAGUUGGGCGGUGAUUUGAGAAGUGGAAGUGAUUUAAGAUCACCGCUACGUAGGAUCACCGUAUUGCAACCAAACACGGUGAUCUCAUCACCUCCACCCCCAUUACCCUUGAUCUUGGGACAAUCACCCUAUACCAAACGCCCCCUUAAGCUAAUAGAAUGAAGUAGAUUUAUUUUUAUAUUUUAUAUUUUCUUAUACUCCCCCUCACAUGUGGACCGGACUUUUCUUUUAUAGGUGAGCCCAACAUGUGAAAUUUUUAAUAAUAGGGUUAAAGAGUGUGGAGACAGGAUUCGAACUUAGGAUCUCUGCUCUGAUACCAUGUUGAAAUCACCACUUGUCUUAAAAGCUUAAGCUAAUAGGAUGAGGUAAAUUUGUUUAUAUAUUUUAUAUUUUCUUACAAUGAUAAUAAAGGCAUGAGUUUCUUAUUUUUGAAAAUAUAGAACAUAAGAAUUCCUUACUUUUAUUUUUUAGAAAUAAUUAAAGCGAUUUUUAAAAAUAAAAAAUAAAAAUAGUAGUACCAAACAAUUUUUUGUCUCAAUUUUGCAAUUUUAUUUUUUAAAAUUAAAAACAAAAAAUAAAAGUGAUGCGAAACAAGCCCUAAACUUAAUUUUGAUCUAAAUCACAUCAUUAAGGAGAUUAUGGAAUGCUUAAGCACUGGAUGAGCGCCUGGACUAAACACUAUAAAUAUCAAACUACCAAAGAAAUUACAAAUUGAGAUAUCACCUUUCUAUGCCCCAAGUACAUACCAUUUUAAGACAUGCUCCACCAACAAUGCAUCAUUAUUGGGGGGGCCCACCAGUAGAAACUCUAGCAUCCAAUCCUACCACCAACAACAACAGCCUUGCCUAAUGCAGCCCCAUGCCUGUCACAGUUGAUAGGGUCAACAACCAUAGUCAAGUCGCCACAACUACAAGUCUGUACCAACGAUACCACCAUUGCUAAGAAUCAAAGGGAGAGAAAGGUUUAGCCAGAGAAAGAAAAGCAAAAGGGGAAAAAAGAACUUAGAUCAACCGCAAACACAAACUCCAAUAUCAAGCAUCACCCUAACUAUCAUGUGCCACCACCAAUCACCUCUUCCAAACCACCUCCUUCCUCUACUUUGCCACCAAGGCUCAUCCUAGAAGGAUUUAAGACGAGUAAAAUGAAAAUUUUUGGAGUUGUUUGGUAUCGCUUCUAUUUCUUGUUUCCUAUUUUUAAAAAUAAAAAUAUAGAAAUUGAGAAAAAAACAUAUCUAGUAAUAUUGUUUUAUUUACUAUUUUCAAAAGUUAUUUUCAUUAUAUCUAGAAAAAUUGAGUUAACAAAACCUUAUAUUCAAAAUGGCAUCCCAGUACACGAGGAUCCUGCCAUAGUAGGGUCAAGGGAGGGUCAAGGGAGGGUCAACUAAUGCAGCCUUACCCUGCUAUGCGGAGAAGCUGUUUUUUUUUCGAACCUGACCUAGAUCACAAUGGAGUAGCCUUAGCAUUGCACCAAAGCCAAAAAUUCUUUUAUUAAAUAUUUACAAAAACAAACAACUUAUGAUUUUUACCACUACCACCAAAAUUGCCUUCACGACCACCCUACCACAUCCAUGACCACUGUUGCCACCUUCAUCACCACUGGUCUCCUCCGCUGCCAUUGCUGCCAUCACCCCCACCAAUGUUGUCGCUGCCUUUCCACCACCACUAUCAGUGCUAUUGCUUUCACCACAUUGUCAGUGCCUCCACCACCACCACCACUGUCGCUGCUAUCAUCACCAUCACGACCACUAUCAUCGCUAUCACCACCUUUACCCACCUCCAUUGUCAUCGUCGUCACCUCUACCACAUCAUUGGUGCCCUCGCCGCCACCUCUACCACAUCAUUGGUGCCCUCACCGCCACCACCAUCGUCUUCACCAUCACCAUCACUACCACCACCAUCGCCAUCUCCUCCAGACCAUCAUGGCCAUUGUUGCAACCUCUGCCAUACUAGCGCUAGCCCCACCAUCGACACCACGUUUGCCUAAAUUCCAUCUCAGCUUUACUCUUCUAAAGCAUUAUUUUAGAUCAUAAAAGCACUAGAUUGCAUCCCAUCUUACAACUCUAGCAUGAAAGGUGUUGAAUACAAUUUACAUUGGUUUUUGGUAUCUUUAUUAUAUGCUUGUACAUUACAUCAUUUAAGGCAGCAUAAAGAGUACCCUUUUAGGUUGUCAUAUGUCAAGUUGUUACCAACGCUUAGAUUACAAUACAACCUUAUAACAUAUUACAAUGAACAGCACGAUGAGAUUUUACAUCAAAUUCUUGCAAGGUUAGAUGCACUAAUUGAUGAAGUGCUGAAACUUUUGACAACAUGUGCAUAACCUAGAUACUAGACAAGCCCCCGUUUGUGCAAUAACAUGUUACAAAUUCACAGUGUAAAAUUUUUCAUCCAAGAUUUCCUAAAAAAAGAAAAACAUUUUUGUCCAAGAUUUCUGACUCAGAUUUUUUUUCAAUAUAUGCUCAUCCAUUAAGAAUGCCUCUGCGCAUUGGACAGCCAGCAGAAAUCUUUAUAUUUGUGAUAAAGUGAGAAGAAUAAAAGAUUGAUGAAGAAACAUCUUCCUUGUAGUUUUCCAUGGAUCAAAUUAAAAAUGGAUUAUAAAAUCAUAUAUCGAUAUUUUCUUAAUGCGUGCAUCAUCACAAAGAAAUCCAUCAUAGCAUAGCAUUUUGAAGAAAUAAUAUCAAUAAACUACAAAAUGGUCAUUAAGGACUUCAAUCUUUCUAACGAUCUAAUCGACAUACAUUUGAUAAUGCAUAAAAAUCAACAACAUAAACAAGGAUAAGCUUGUCCAACUCAAUAUCUGCUUCAAUAUUCUCAAUUUAAAUAAAAAACUGCUAAAUACCUGAGCAGUUUCAUCGGCAGCAUUUUUUGUCCACAAAGCUAUUUUUUCCUGCUUCCCACGGACACUAACAACUGCUCCACAAAUUUCAUCUCCAUAGUCAAAUUGCUCACCUAUCAUUGCCAAUAACUAGUAGGAACAGUAGCAGAUAUCAUACGACGAAUAAUUAGUACAUAUUUAUCAAGUAAUAAACAAUAUUUUGGAGGGCAAGAUGCAUACAGUAUGCAACCAAAAUGUAUCUGAUUUCCCUCUAGAACAGCUAAUGGUCCAUUUCCCUCCAUUAGCGCACACUGGAUCUUCCCAUUUAGGCUCAAUUUUGUAUUUAAAGCAAUGAAAAUCUGCUCCCACAACCAACUUGCUUGGUUGACGAAUAUUAUUGUAGAGGCUGAAAAAAUUUAUAACAGAUUACACCUAAUUAAUACAAUAUUAUUUUUUUUGAUUAAGACAGAUGUAGCACAAGCAUCACCAAUAUAAAGACUAAAUGAGCAAGAACAACAGUAAAAAUCAAAUAAGGAUUAUUCAGACAACCAAAACAUCUUCCAACUUCUAAAUUAUGCAACAAGACGAUAAACAUCUUUCAACAUCUAAAUUAUGCAACAACAAAAUAAACAUCUUCCAACUUCUAAAUUAUGCAACAAGAAAAUAAACAUGCAAUUUACAGUAAUAUGACCUCUAAGGAGUCAUGUGAUGGAAGGCAAAAUGGAUCGUCCUACCUCAGCGUGGGACCACCCAAUUUCAGCCAAAUAGACCUUAGCACCGAGCAGGCUAGACCUCGAUUACGCUAAGCGCCAGUCCGACCCCGGACCUCAUCAAAGGCCGAGUCAACCUCGGCCCGAUCUCUCUGCUGCCAUAAGCUCCCAUGAUCGACCAAGAGCUAAAGAGGCCCCAUCGACCGCCCGUAAUAUAACGUCCCGGGCCCGAGCUCGAGGCGCCUUGCGGGAUCGACCAAGAGCCGAAGAGACCCCGUCGACCGCAGGUAUCCAUAAUGAUGCCCCGGCCCGAGCUUGGGGUGCCCUACUGAGCUGACCUCCGAGCUGAGGAGGCUAGGCCGACCCCAGCGUCCGUCGAGCCGACCUCACCAAACAUAUGUCGCGGCCCCUAAGUCAGCCCGACCUCAAUACUCACCAAGCUUACUUCACCAAGUAAAUGCUGCAGCCUCCAAGCGAGCCCAACCUUGCCCAUGGCCGCAUCCACGUGCACACUUACGCACGCCCCUACGCCCGCAUACGUAGCCGUACAUUAUAACCUCACCACGCCAUGCUUUGCUUGCUGGUCACUCUACGAUAUGACGACCAGAGGCCAUACCUUACUGCCAAAGGCUGUACCCUGUUAAUGCCCGCAACGCCAUGCGCAGGAACAGCUCGAAGCAUGUGCUCCAAGCAAGCCGUGGCCACACGCCACUUGGCCUAUGCCAUUUCCUCCCAUGAUGAAGAUAAGCCAUACCUCCGCCGGGCACCUCCGUGGAGACUAUAAAUAGCCCCAUUAGGUAACGCCUAAGGACCUUUUUUUUUGAGCUGGACCAGCUAAGAUCCACUCUAACUUAAUCAUCGAAGAGCUCUCACUGGAAUCCCACAGGUGAAACUUUGUGCAGUUCCGCCGAUGCGCAGGAAGCGACGUCCUUCCAUCCCGACCGGUAGCUCCUCCGACUGCUCCGGCAUGGUCACCCUCGAGCCAAAUUUGAACCACAACAUCAUGCAUGUUCGCUAGGAGGUACUUCCAUAAGGUUGGAAUUAUAGGAAUACAACCGAGUCCCAAGGGAUAAGAUGGAUGUACACCCAAAAUAAGGUGAAAUAAGACAAGAUUUUGGUUUGAACAAACAUUUUUGUUUGAAUUGAUACAGCUACGAAGAUAGUUAUAACUAUAUCAGCAGAAUAGAAGUGCAUUAUUUUAAAAGAUAUGGACUCUGCAUACUUAACUUGGAAACCACUAUAUGUCCAGUGUAUUACAAUGACAUUUCUCCUUAUCCAGUGAUAAGCAAUACCAAUGAUAACUUAGCAGCCUAUAACCAAUACGACCGACCUAAGCCUCAAGGGAUAAAUCUUAAACACCCAACUUACUCGAUAUACUCUCCUAUUAUGUCUCCCAAUUGUUGCAGGUAUUGUGGCUUUCAUUUUUCCAAAACCAACUUGGCUUGUCUUAGGCUUACUUCUGGUAUUGGAUCACAGCUAGGACACCCCAUAGAAAUUUUUUAACAAGUACCUGAGAAUUAAGAUUGACUUUUGGAUACAAAGUAUAUUUUUGAACUCAAUUCAAACUCCUAUAUGAAGGUAACUUAAUGAAGAAAUUUUUUGGAAGUCUUAAUCUUGCUAAAUGAGCAGACAUGAACUAAGUCAGCAGGUUUUAAGCACUCUAUGUGAGUAAGAGGCAGUAUUUUUCUAAGGUAGUCUGGUUCAGUAGUUAAGAUUUAUUUGGUUCCCUCAGGACAUCACCAACAGAAUACUAAAUGAAUUUUGUAUAGACAUUUUGUUCUUUGAUUGAUAACACGUGAUUUUAGUCCUGCUGCUGAAUAUGGGAAUCAUCUAUUCCUCCAAUGCUCUUAUUCAGCAUAUUCUAGCACUGAAGAUCAAAACUAAGGUUAAAGCCACAGAAUUGAUACAAUUUGUUCAAAAAUAUAGAAUAUUAGAAACUUGAGCUGUCACUGAAACCCAUACCUACAGAACUGAUAUGAACGUGCAUACUUAUUAUUCGAGUACGACUUUGGCAAUAGACCAAUAAAUGUCUUAUGGCCUUGGUCUUAGCGUGCGUGUGUAGCCAACUUAAGGCGAUCAUAUGAUAUGAUGCUGUAUGGAUCUAAACUUGGUGAACCCACGUGGACCCAGAUUCAAUACCUCACCUGAUGUCUGCAAUAAUUAUAUAAUAUAUUAAUAGUCUGGAUCUGGCUUUAAUGUUUCCAGGUAACAAGUUGUUUCCGUCUAUAAUUGACUUCUGCUGUCCCUGAAUUUAACUUUAGAAUAGAUGAUUUUGAUGUUUUUCAUUUGUAAUAUUCUAUGAGUUGUAUCAAACAUAUUGCUGUAUUUUGGUUUCCCCAAACAUCUAACCACAACCCUAGUCCGUUGACCCCCUCUCUUCUCCAUCCUCUCUCCUAUCUUCUUCCUUCCAUGCCCCAGCAUGUGCCAACCUCUUUCUUCUCUGCUAUCUUCCCUCAAUUCUUUGGAGAACUCCCUCAUUUCCUUGUUCGAAAAACACCCAACCAACAACACAUUGCCCACUCCCCUGCUUCAAGAUUUUUUUUUCAAUAGUCCAACCAAAAUGCAGUUCAUGUUCCAAAAUUUCAUUCCUAAUUAUAUGUCAGAUGAUGCAUUGCACAUUCUUAUCUUUGGUUUGAGGUCUAGAUCUAGUUAUACAGAUGAUCAAGUCAUUUGACGAAAGGGGAUGAAGAGGAUCUCACUUACCUAACAGGUUUUUCUCUUUCCUUUAGAAAUACAACAAGAAAUGUCAUGCCCCGACCCGAGAUUGCGAGCCGGGGGUCGCGGCAACCGCCGUACACUCAUAGGGAGCUCUCCCCACGAGCAUGCAAGGCAUCUUAACGUGACAUCAUCAAUAUGCAACGGAACAAUUUAAGCUAAUAAUAUGCAAUCUUCAUUUCAUUAACUAACUCAACUUAAAAUGUUUCACAAUUCUAACAUUAGUCUAACAUAAUAAAUCAAUUUAAAUAAACUCUAAUAUAAAAUAACUUGUGCCACAGUUCUUCUAGUCGUUGUCCCAAAUUGAAAAAUUUCGGGUCGAGCUAAUUCUUCAGAUCUAUAAAAAUAGUAGAAAAUUGUAUAAUGAGCUAGACAACUCAGUAAGUAAUGAAUACCUUAACUAGACAAUUCAUAUAAUUACAUAAAAUAUAAAUACAAAUUACGAUAAAUCAGUAUAAAGACAAUAAAUUUCUUUUCAAAACACAAAUCCAUUGAAAUCCGUAUCUUUCAAAUAUCCGUUUACAUAAUCAUAAGUUCGAUUCGAAAUAAAUCACAUUCAACUCAACAACCUAUAACUUUGGCCACAUUUAUACCCUGUAACUAGAACAGAAAUAGAAUCGCAUUUAUAUCCUGCGGAGUGGGCCAGAAUACCGCACUUAUAUCCUGCGGAGUGGGCCAAAAUACCGCACUUAUACCUUAUGGAGUGGGCCAGAAUACUGCACUUAUAUCAUGCCGAGUGGGCCAGAAUUGCCAAUGCAUAACCCUCAAUUGGCAGGGUUCAGAAUAUAGUCAGGCGGCGAGUUCCAAAUCUGAUACACAUCAAAGUUCUUUUUGUAAUAUAAUAGAUAUAUCAUAAUCUAAUUAAAAUAUGCAUAUAUGACGUAAGAACAAUAAAUAUAACAAUAAUCCGAAAAAUAUUACUCCAAUUUACAUAUCUAUUUUUCAUUUAAAUCAUCUCGUAAAAUAGUCCGAAAAAUAUUACUCCAAUUCGCAUAUCUAUUUUUCAUUUAAAUCAUCAUCUCGUAAAAUUCAUAAAUCACAUAUAAAUCCAUUAACAAUUUAUUCAAUAUAAAAAUAAUAUUAUAUAAAUAAAAAAUCUAGAAAAGGCAGAUCAUUACUUAUCUUGCAAAUACGAUCCAACUAAUACAUCCAAUCAAUUCCGAAAAUUCUUCUCAGGGCCUAAUAUUCCAAAAUUAUAUUUUUCAUCAGAAUUUCAUCAUAAUUAAAAUAAAAAUUCUGAAUUCCAAAAUCCUCAUAAGGAUGACCUUGCAAUAGUGCUUGACAUCCGGAUCGGUCGGUUUGAUCAAAGUAAAAUUCAUCGAAUCAUGCUCUGACUAAGGUACAGACGGUUCAAUAGAGAUUUGAGGUGAUCAAAUCUAACAGUGUUAGCAAGGACCACGGUGGGGCUGACACGUCAUCCGACGACCUGAGAUCAAGAUCCUUCACCAGAGUUAAUUCAAAAUCACUGUGAAGAGUUUCUACUAGAUCCAACUACCUUAGAGAGAGAGUAGAGAAAAUCCAGUGGAGAGAAAGUCCAGUACAGAGAGAACCAAGAGAGACAACAUGGGAAAGAGAGAGAAAAGAAGAGAAAAGAAGAAGCUUCUCUCUCUAACCGAGGAAGAGAAAGGAAAGGGGUGGUUGUAAGUGGUGCACGAGGUCAGGGACCCAGGGCCGGCCAACAGGCAACCAGCGGCCGGCAACGCCAAAACCAACAAAAACAAGAAAAUCGGAGUCUUCAUCGUUUUUUGUUGUUGGCCGCUCAUCUGCGGCCAUUAUUUGACCGUGAAAGGUCGGUGGGAAGCGGGGGAGUCGAUCAAGAGUCCGGCAUUAAGGGAGCAGCGGCGCCGAUGGUUGGAGAAAGGAAUAGGCAUCGAUUUUUAGAAAAAUAAAAGAAAACAGGGCAUCCGAUUCUUCUCGAAAAUCCGGCAAUCAUCGACUAGAAUCAAGGCUUCUGAGGACCAUGAAAGAUGGGGAGGGAGACCAAUCAGAAGUUGCCGGUGCUUACCUGGCUAUUGGCGAUGGUUGGCGACAGCAACGACGUUAACACAGUCGACGGCCGCGGAGGAGAUUGAAGAGAAAUCUGGUGACGGUUCGAUUGGAGAUCAAGCUCUUCAGUGUGUGGUGGAAGAUGAAUGAGGGGGAGCUCUAAAUAGAGCUCAGUCGCGACCGAAAUCCGACCCAGAGUUGGAUUCCAUCUGACCAUCAUGGGGAGUCGGGAGUCUUCUCUCUACACACGUGCCGAAUUUCUUUUUUUGUGUGUUGGGCCAAAAACAUACUUUUGGGCCGGUUAAAUAGACUUAACCUAGUUCGGUUUCAAGCUUAACAGGCCUGGGUAUUACAUUCUCCCCAUAAAAAAGAUUUCGUCCAUGAAAUUUUCUUUUCUUACGUUUCUAGAAGAUAGAGAUACAUAGUUCUAAUCUCAUCCUCAAGUUUCCAAUAAUUCUACUUAUCAAUACAAAUUCAUCUUUAGUUCUUAUCAGAAGAAUAAGGUCCAAUACCUCCAGACUCGAUUCUUUUUGUAGAUGAUCUAAAACUUCUCUUAUAAACAGAAAUCAACAUCUUAAUUUUGAAUAAGAAUAUCAAGUUUGUUUAUCAAAAUACCAACUGCUCUUGAUUAAUCGAUCUAUCACAAAUAUUAGAUCAUAAACCAUCCCAAUCCACCUCUAGUGGAAUAUUCAUCAAAGUUGAUUCUUAACCUCACUUUCUUUCCAGAUUUAAUUAAAGAAGUUCAAGCUUCGGAUUUAGGAGAAAAGAAGGCCAAAACCAAAAUCUUCCAGAUCUAAGAUCAAAAUCGAUGAUCCAUUAAUUCUAGUCUCAAGAUACUAAAAUUUUUCUUAGCACAACAUAAAAGUUGGGAACCUAAGAUAAUGCAACGACAUCCAAAAAUCAGAACAUUUUUUUUUCGUUUAUCAAGAAAAUUUUGCUACACAAGGAAACAGAUCAAGUCCCUUGUUAUUAAAACUUGCCAAAUUAAAAAGAUAAUACUUUCGACCAACUUAGAAAAAUAAUUCAGACCACUAUACUUUCGCUGCACACUCUGAUUCAAACCACCAAAAUUCUUUGGAUUUACUAAUAAUUUUUUGUCAAAUACCUUGUAUUAUGAACUAAAAAGAUCCAAAAUUUCAAUUUCUAGGUAAAGCCCAAAACAGAACCUUUGAUUUCUUGUCUGCUAAUUUACCUCGAACACAUCCAUCUAGAUUAAUCUUCGAGUCAAUUGAUACAUUCAAAACCAUCAUAUAGGCUAGUUACUGUAAUUCAAAAUGAAUUGAAUCUUAAUUCUCUUAUGAACUCAACUAGACGAUUCAAAGUCAAACUCUUACAAGUAAAAACAACCAGAAAAAUUUUCUCAAGACCUUAAAUCAAUCAUCUCUCCUAGAGUUUUCUUCAUCGAGAACUUUAGCAUUUAUCAAAAAUCUUCGAUUAUAAUUAUGUAAACCUUAAAUAUUCAAAUUCUUUCCGCAAAACUAGACUUCAUCAACAACCUCAACAACAUUGGCAAAAGAUCCCUAGACUAACCUAUUAGCCCAAACUUGAAUUGAAGUUUAUUACCCACCAUAUAGUCUUUGAUAGACAUAAAUAAGAUCUAUUAUUUGGAUCCAAAGAUAGUGAUAAAAAUUAUUAAUGAUUUCACCAAGAUCAAUACUUUAUGAUCUCAAAAUAAAAAUAAUUGUUCAAUAAGAAAAUAACCUUUCUGCAGUAUCACCCAACAUAUUUUCCUUCUACAUCUAGCUUCAUUCAUAGUCUACAUACAGAUUCAAACCUCAAAGAAUAUUCCAAUCAGGUACCAUAUAAAUCUUUCAUAGCCCAAAUUUUAAACAACUUCGUAUAGAUGGAUCUUAAUUUGCCUCUAAAAAUUAUCUUCAAAAUUAAGCAAUAUCAUAGUAUACCUCCAUAUCAAUUUUUUUAAGUUUCCAAGUUCACUUAAAUAACAAAUAAUCACAAUGCAUGAUAAUAUUCUAUGGUCAAUCCUCUUGCACUUAAUUUAGAUCCAAAUCUAACUAAUUAUAACUUGAUUCUUAGAUUGCCCAACCUUCCAUCAUAUAUCAAACUUCAUAAAUAAAUUUUAUCAUAAUUCCCUAGUAACUUUUUCAUACAUAAUCACAAGGCUUAACAGAAAAUCUUUUUAAAGUAGCUUACAAUGCAAUCGACAUAGAUGUACGUCCUAAUAUUCCUAGUGUCUACCUACCUACACUCAUCCUAUGUCAGAUUUCUGUCUUAGACUUUUAUCUAUUUAUGCAUUGAAAUUAAUUGUCAUGCAUCAACCCGAAAUUAUGAGCCGGAGAACGCGGCAACCGCCGCACACUCAUAGGGAGCUCUCCCCACGAGCAUGUAAGGCAUCUCAACAUGAUAUCAUCACUAUGCAAUAGAACAAUUUACACUAAUAAUAUGCAAUAUUUAUUGCAUUAACUAACUCAACUUACAAUGUCUCACAAUUCUAACAUUAGUCUAAGGUAAUACAUCAAUUUAAAUAAACUCUAAUCUAAGAUAAUUUGUACCAUAGUUCUUCUAGUCGCUCUUCUAAAUUGAAAAACUCUGGGUCGAGCUAAUUCUUUAGAUCUGUAAAAAAUAGUAAAAAAUCGUAUAAUGAGCUAGACAACCUAGUAAGUAAUGAAUACCUUAACCAGACAAUUCAUAUAAUUACACAAAAUAUAAAUACAAAUUACGAUGAAUUAGUAUAAAGAAAAUUAAUUCAGUUUCAAAACACAAAUCCAUUGAAAUCCAUAUAUUUCAAAUAUCCAUUUAUAUAAUCAUAAAUCCGAUUCGAAACAAAUCACAUUCAACUCAACAACCUAUAACUAUAGCCACACUUAUACGUCAUACCCUAUGAUUAGGCUAGAAACAGAACUACACUUAUAUCCUGCGGAGUGGGCUAGAAUACCGCAUUUAUAUUCUGCGGAGUGGGCAAGAACACCACACUUAUACCCUAUGGAGUGGGCCAGAAUACCGCACUUAUGCCUUAUGAAGUGGGCCAGAAUACCGGACUUAUACCCUACGAAGUAGGCCAGUAUAUCACACUUAUACCCUGUGGUGGGGCCAGAAUUGCUAAUGCAUAACCUCUUAUUGGCAGGGUUCAGAAAAUAGUCAGGCUAAAGUUCCAAAUCUGAUGCACAUCAAAUUUUUUUUUAAAUAAUAGAUAUAUCAUAAUCCGAUCAAAAUAUGCAUAUACGAUGUAAGAACAGUAAAUAUAAUAAUAGUAUGAAAAAUAUUACUCUAAUUCACAUAUCUAUUUUUCAUUUAUAUCAUCAUCUUAUAAAAUUCAUAAAUCAGAUAUAUAAAUCCAUUAAUAAUUUGUUCAAUAUAAAAAUAAUAUUAUUUAAAUAAAGAAUCUAGAAAAGGCAGAUUAUUACUUACCUUGCAAAUGCGAUCCAACUAAUAGAUCCAAUCAAUCCUGAAAAUCCUUCCUAAGGCCUAAUAUUCCAAAAUUAUAUUUUCAUUGAAAUUUCAUCAUAAUUAAAAUAAAAAUUCUAAAUUCCAACAUCCUCAGUGCAGACCAAACAAUAGUGCCUGACAUCCGAAUCGGUCGGAUCAAAGUGAAAUUCAUUGAAUCAUGCUCGGAUUAGGAUACAGAUGAUUCAACAGAGACCAGGGAUGAUCAAAUCUAAGAAUGAUAGCAAAGGCCAGGGUGGAGCUGACACGCUGCUCGACUAUCCGAGAUCAAAACCAUUCAUCAGGAUCAAUUCAAAAUCACUAUGAAGAGUUCCUACUAGAUCUAACUACCUUAAGAAAGAGUAAAAAGAGAAAAUCCAAUAGAGAAAAUUCAGUAGAGAGAGAAUCAAGAGAACAUAGAGAAGAGAGAGAAAAAAAGAGGAAAAAAGAAGAAGCUUCUCUCUCUAACCAAGAAAAAGGAAGAAAAAGGGGGUGGCUAUAGGUGGUGCAUGAGGUCAAGGACCUAUGGCCGGCCAACAGGCAGUCGGCAGCCGGCAAUGCCAAAACCAACAAAAACAGGAGAAUCAGAGUCUUCAUCGUUUUUGGCUGUUGGCUGCUCAUCGGCGGCCAUUGCUUGACUGAGAAAGGUCGGUGGGAGGCCAGGGGAGUCGAUCAAGAGGUCGGCAUCAAGAGGCGGUGACACUGAUGGCCAGAGAAAGGAAGAGACAUCGGUUUUCACAAAAAUAGGGGAAAACAAGGCAUCGAGUUCUUCUCGAAAAUUCGGCGAUCGGCCAAAAUCAAGGCUUUCGAGGACCACAGAAAAUGGAGAGGGAGACUAAUCAGAAGUUGCAGGUGCUUAGCUGGCUUAUGGCGACGGUUGGUGACGGCAACGACAUUGACACAGUCGAUGGCCGCGGAGGAUAUUGAAGAGAAAUCCGGUGAUAGUUCGAUCGAGGAUCAAGUUCUUCGGUGUGUGGUGGAAUAGAGAUGAGAGGAAACUCUAAAUAGAGCUCGGCCGCCACCGAAAUCCGACUCGGCGUUGGAUUCCGCCUGACCAUCAUGGGGAGGAAGAAGACUCCCAUCGGAAGUCUUCUUCUCUCCAGGCAUGCGCGCAGUACAUGCCGACUUUUUUUUACGUGUUGGGCCGAAAACAUACUUCCGAGCCGGUCAAAUGGACCUGGCCCAGUUCGGUUUCAAGCUUAAGAGGCCUGGGUAUUACAGCAAGGAUCUGAGCUCUAGCACUGACCACUCUCCAGUGCAAGAAUUGAGGACAGAUGGGGGCAAUGAAAGGUUCCAGGUCCUAUUAGUAAUCGAAACUUGUGCCAUGAUGUAGUCCCUUAAUGAUAUAGCUGCAACUAAAAUAAAUGUAUAGUAAAACAGAACUCGGAUAUUGACAGCUUUGGAGUUCCUUUUUUUAUAACAAAUGAAUCAGCAAGGAAGAGAGUAAAAGUAAAGGACAAUGAGAAGUGGUAGAAUAGAGGAGAAAGAAGAAGAAUAUAGAGACGGGAGAAUAAUAAAGGGUAAAAUCUCCACAAUGGAGUAACUUCAUUCAAUAAAAUCCAUAAAUCAUACAUAAUUUGUCAUCCCCAUGGAACCAUAUUUCUAGACAUUCAAACAACACUAAAACAAUGUUUCUUAAUCAUAAAAGGGACUCUCAACUUAUCUAUAAAGGUCAUGGGACAUUAAUUUACAUUAUUUGACUCAAAUAGAACUCCUGAUAAACCAAAACUCCAUUAUAACAAAUUUAGUCACUUUCUCAACAAAAGAUAACCAAAGGCUUUGUAAAGAAUAGUAAAUUCGUAACUACAAUGGAUCCCACAUAAAAGAUCAUCAAAACCUUUCCAAACAACAAUCCAAAUAAGUUUAGAACUUUGUUAAUAUAACCUAGACUUAUAAUAGGACUUUUGAUGAUAACUAUAAAGACAAUAGAACUAAAAAAAAUCACCUAAAGAAUGGAAGAAAAUAGGGAAUACCUGACCUACUCCAAACUCAAUAAAACUAACAAAUUAACUAAACCAAAUUUAGACCUAUAUUACAUCAUGGAGGUAGAGCCUAAUCAACAUCUGAAUAAGUCUACCACUCAACAUAUUGACAUGUAAAUUAUUAGCCCAAAGAAUCCAAAGUGACCUAAAAUGAUUGAGAGCAUCAUCUUCCUAAGCAAAAGUCAAGCAAUUCACAGCAUCCAUAUCCAGACAAGCGUUGCCAUCAUGGCCCUUGCUCUUUUGAUCAUAGACGCUGGUCUAAGAAUAUCAUUUAACUUUGCAAAUCUCUUCAUUAUAACCAUAUUAGAAGCAUAACAAUGGGUUAUCAACAAUGUUGACCAGAUACUAUUUAUUGCAAGAGUUCAAAGAAGAAUAUAUCAUUAGAAUAUAGGCAUCAGAAAAGGAAGGAAUCAUUACCAAGAAAAUCGUUGGUGAUGAUUGAAACCUUCUAGGAAUUUAUGUUCCAAACAAUGACUAGCAAGUAGAGCACCUAAGAAAAGAGAAUUGGAUCAAUUGGAGAGGAGUAAUCUAUCUAAAUGGCAUCCUUAGGAGAUAUUACCUGGACAAGUGUUGCCUCUUGGGUAUUGAACAACCAACAUAUCACGACCAUCACAAAUAAGGUCUUAAGAAGAGCUAGCUCACAAGAACAAAGUGGGAAGACAAGUAAUGAUGGACAAUGGAAGGAAAAGGGAGAAUGGGAAGGUUUGAGAAAGAAAAAAGGAUGGAAAAGUAAUGGAGGGUAAGAGGCUGGCAACAUAAUUAGUAGGAGGUGAUGCUGGGUGGAUGAGACUCCAGUUGUGGGGCUAAAAGGUGGUUAAAUGUGAGAGGAGAUGAAUGGUCAAAGAGAGGGAGUCUAUGGAUGGUUGCGAGGAGGAAGGGAAGGUGAUAUGGGAGAUGGGAGGAUGCGGUGGCAAAUCUCAACCAAAAUGAGGAGAGAGGAAAGGCCUAUGGUGGACCAAGGGAGGAAGAAGAGAUUAAAAAGGAUGAUGAAGAGGAAAAGGCUUCACUUCAAAAGUAGUCAAUUUCUCAGCAAAAGAAGUAGAGGUAUAAUGAGCUAUCGACUAUUGGAAAUGACCAAAUCCAUUCCUAGCCAUUUUACUUUAGAAGGUACUUGUCAAUUUUCCACUUGGGAACAAAAUAGCCACUCCCUAACAGUUUUAUCUUAUAGUUUAUAUCCUUAGCAUUUUUUAUAUACCUCUCCCUUUAUAUUUUCCGUUCAACAAUAGAAAAGAGGUUGUUGGUUCAUCUCCUCUUUCUUUCUUCUUUAAUCUAACACGCCUCUUCCCAUUACUUUCCAAUCCAACUUGUCAUAAUAGGAAAAUAAUUUUAGGUGUCCACGAUAACAUCAGAAUAAACUCUCUUUUUUCUACAAUGCAGAUUCGUGAUCCUUGUGUUCCCUUUCACCUAUAAUAGCUAUCUAAUGUCAAUACAGUCAUAAAGAUUAACUAGCUCAUUAAUAAAGUUACCAUACUACUCACACUCCUCCACUUGGAAGAGGUCAUGGGUUAGAAUCACAAGGAGUUGUUUCUACAGGUAUUUGGAAUAGGUAAUUCUACCGAAUGGAUCUUCCCUUCAUCCCCCAUCCACCCAACACACAAAAAAAAAAAUAAAGAAAGAAAGAAAAAAAAACAGAAGGCAGAAUACCUUAAUACCCUACAUGGAUCCUUCCUCUACCCCAUUUUGUACAACACAGGGGAGACCUUCAUGACAUGUAAAAGCAAAGAGGAAAUAGGACAUACCU